AACGAACGCUGGCGGCAUGCCUAACACAUGCAAGUCGAACGAAGGCUUCGGCCUUAGUGGCGCACGGGUGCGUAACGCGUGGGAAUCUGCCCAAGGGUACGGAAUAACAUCCCGAAAGGGGUGCUAAUACCGUAUGAAGUCGCGAGACCACAGAUUUAUGGCCUUUGGAUGAGCCCGCGUUGGUUUAGCUAGUUGGUGGGGUAAAGGCCUACCAAGGCGACGAUCCAUAGCUGGUCUGAGAGGAUGAUCAGCCACACUGGGACUGAGACACGGCCCAGACACCGACGAGAGGCAGCAGUGGGGAAUAUUGGACAAUGGGCGAAAGCCUGAUCCAGCAAUGCCGCGUGAGUGAUGAAGGCCUUAGGGUUGUAAAGCUCUUUUACCCGGGAAGAUAAUGACUGUACCGGGAGAAUAAGCCCCGGCUAACUCCGUGCCAGCCGCCGCCGUAA
rnacentral:rRNA from 1 species